AGCGAACGUUAGCGGCGGGCCUAACACAUGCAAGUCGAGCGAGAAAGGGGCUUCGGCCCUGAGUAAAGCGGCGGACGGGUGAGUAACACGUAGGUAAUCUUCCUUCGAGCGGGGGACAACGGUCCGAAAGGACCGCUAAUACCGCGUACGUUCCCGAGGACCCUGGUCCCUGGGAGGAAAGCUAGGUCGCAAGAUCCGGCACUCGGGGACGAGCCUGCGUCGCAUCAGCUAGUUGGUGGGGUAAUGGCCUACCAAGGCGAAGACGCGUAGCUGGUCUGAGAGGAUGAUCAGCCACACUGGGACUGAGACACGGCCCAGACUCCUACAGGAGGCAGCAGUGGGGAAUAUUGGACAAUGGGCGCAAGCCUGAUCCAGCCACGCCGCGUGAGUGAUGAAGGCCUUCGGGUCGUAAAGCUCUGUGGGGAGGGACGAACCGCUGCACGUGCAUAGCGUGCAGCAUGACGGUACCUCCUUAGCAAGCACCGGCUAACUUCGUGCCAGCCGCCGCCGUAA
rnacentral:rRNA from 1 species